GUGCAAGCAUAUUGCAGAGAUGUCAGCAGAGCUUUCACUGAAAUCAAAUAUCUUUUAGAAAACGCAUGGAAUGGAAACCAGUGUGGAGGGGGAGGGAACCAGGUUGUAAGGAGAGUGGCAUUUGAGAUGCAGGAGGACGUCUAGGAUGGCUGCAUUCGACUGAAAGAGAGUUCAUGGGAGAAUAAAGAGGCAACUGCAUGACUAUCAGAGAAGCAGCCAUUGAAACUGUUCCUGGCAUGAAGAUGAAGUUAAUGCUAAAGUACUGCCAAGUAAAAGUCUGUCUAGUGUGCAAGUGUUGAAUUCAGAACAGCCCAAAAAGGACGAAAAUGAUCAUAACAUAAUACUAUUAAAGAUCUGGAGGAGGACAGAAUGACUAUCAGGCAUUGAACUACAACUCCUCUCCUGUUCAAGCCAAUGUACAGUUCAGUCAUGGAAUUCUGCACAUGGAAGAUCCCAGAUUCAAUUGCCGGAUUUGGUUCAGAAACACCUUGGAAGUGCUAAAUGGAUCACUCGUCUGGCUCAGUAAUUUGCGGGCUUGGCAGCUAUAUCUCUGCUCAUCAUGCCAUUCAAAUGCAAACUUCAUUCCUUGUGAUUCAUACAUGAUUUUCUAUCCUAGACGUCCUAUUUUUAUAGUAUUUAUUUAUUUACUUAUUUUAUUUCUACCCCACUCUUCACACUCCACAGGGAACUCAGAGCAACUUAUAAGUUUUGGCAAAAAUCCAGUGCCAGUCUUAUACAAUAAACAUAAAACUCAGUAACAUGUAAAUCACAAUUAAAACCAAUUAAAAUGUGUAACCAAAUCUCAGCUAUCAUGAGGAUUUUGCUAAAAGAGGGAAGGAUUUGUCCUGAAUGACAGCACAAGUGAACCAGCAUCAGCAGCAGGAAUGGUGAUGUAGCUGAGCAGCAAGAUGGCGGAGACCUCUAUGGCUGAAGCCCCCACAGGCAUGAUCCUUUUAUGCCCUGGCCUUUGGAGGCAAGCAGGUGUUCUUGCUAGGCCUUGCUUUGCAGAGUCACAGGGUCAGGGCCUCAGUUCUGCAAGGAGUGAUUUCCAGGAGUUGAGCCAGAGGCAGCAAAGAAAACAAAGGCUGCCUUUUUCCUCAAAGCCCCUGGUGAUGGUACCUUCACUCCCUUGAUGGUCCUCUAGUAACCUCUCAUGGAAAGAUACCAAACCUGAACUACUCAGUGACAUGCUGGGAGGUAAGAUUACUAUUUCUAGGCUUGGGAACUCUCUCACACAGGAUAUUAGCCUGACAUCCCCUUGGUUCUUUUGUCUGAGAGGCAAAAACUUCCCACUAGGUAUGAGAAGACCAUGCUAGGAAGAUGAACAAGAAUCUAAGGAAAGCUUUAAAAAAAGUUGGAAAGAAACUAAGGGAGCACAGUCACAACCAGCAGCUCACUAUCCAUAUUCUGGAACAACAACAGCAGCAAAAAUCAUUAUGGCAGGAAAGAGGAGUAAAAGAAACAUGCACCUGCAGUCUAUAUCUACUUUCCCCCAAUCUGCUACCCUCCAGAUGCUCUAGACUAGAACUCCCAUGGGAAUUUUAAUCUGAAAGACACCAGGAUAGGGAAGACUGGUCUUUGGCAGAAGUCUUUGUUUUUGGUACUCCAGAAGUUUUGGGCUUUGAUCCCCUGCAUCCUUGGUCAAUGGUCUUAGUGGCUGGGAUGCCUUCACCUGGAAGUCCAGGAUAUCUGGAGGCUCAAAGGAAGAGACUGAAUUGUGUAUGAUAUAUAAAAGCGUUUGGAUCCCUUUUGUUUACAAAGUUGUCAACAAGCUCAUUCAAAAUAGUGAGGAAAACUGCCCAGGGAUUUUUCUUGCCACAGGUCUGGCAUUUCUGGCAUUCUAUUUCUGUUUUUCCUGCUUCUUUUUCAGUAGCUUUCCAUCAGAAAACUUGCAAACAGUCUCCCUUCCCCAAAGGGAAGGUCAGAGGAAUGCUGUGAUUCCAUUGCAUAUGUUAAACAUGCACAACUUGUGUUAAGCAUGAUAUGACCUCACUCCACUCAGUACUGCUAACUGUUCCGAGUACUUGAGCUACUGAAAAAAAGCUUUGCAGAAACUUUCAUUCUCACUGCUAAAUACAGAGAAAAUGGACUAAACAGCAUUUUUCUGUACCACAGUUCCGUAAGGUCACAAGAGAAUACCUUCAGCAUUCGAUCAAAAAUGCAUAAACUGGACUGAAUCAGCUUUAUCCAAAGAUUUUCUAUCUGGAACGUGAUCUCUUAUUGUAGUUAGCCUAUCUUCUACCAUUUUUUCUGAACAGAUAAAAUACUGGUGGUAUUAGAGAAGAAGACCUUUAUGUCUUCUGACAUGCCCAAAUUCCUACGUUUGCACACUUGAAGCUCAAGUUGCCUUCAACAAAUAUAAUUAAGCAACAUUUUUCUCCUGGUUAAAUUAAGUAUUUUAGAAUUCUGAUAAAAUAAUUAUACAU